GACCCCACCCAGUGCAGAGAGUGAUAUGUUUUGAUUUGUUUUGUUAAUGGAUGUUCCCUUCUGUAAUGAUGCGUCAUGCCAUCCAACAAGCUACAGAGAGAGAGUGGAUCUGUCCGUCAGGCCGAGACACCGCGUCUUGCCUGGGAACCAGUUUGUCAGCUUUAGUAGUCAAUAUUCCUGCUGACAGGAGGGUUGAGGCAAACAGUCCUUGGAGCUCCCGGGGAGAGGGAGCAAACACACUCUUAUCAGUCCCAGUGUGUUAAAUUCCUUUCUUAGCGGGACAGGGCGAUACCUGCACAGCUUUUGCAGUGGGCGCCAAGAGCAACAACAAUCCUAUGGAAUCACAGGUGUCAAUGUUGACGUUGCUGUGACACCGAUAUAGGAAUAUUCAACUAUCAUGACUAGGCACCAA
ensembl:lncRNA